AACGAACGUUGGCGGCGUGGAUUAGGCAUGCAAGUCGUGGGCGGUUACGUGGUGUAGCAAUACAUCGCGUGACUGACCGGCGUAAGGGGUAGUAAUACAUGGGUAACCAACCCUCCAGAUGGGGAUAACCCGUCGAAAGACGGACUAAUACCCAGCGACGUUGCGAGGGGGCAUCUCUUUGCAACCAAAGGUGUGAUUCCGCUGGAGGACGGGCUCAUGUCGUAUUAGCUAGUUGGUAGGGAACGGCCUACCAAGGCGAAGAUGCGUAGGGGACGUUAGCGCGUGAUCCCCACCACUGGGACUGAGGACACUGCCCAGACACCUACGGGUGGCUGCAGUCGAGAAUCUUCGGCAAUGGGCGCAAGCCUGACCGAGCGACGCCGCGUGCGGGAUGAAGGCCUGGUGUAAC
rnacentral:rRNA from 1 species